UACAGGGGGGGCAAGCGUUGUUCGGAAUUACUGGGCGUAAAGGGCUUGUAGGUGGCCAACUAAGUCACACGUGAAAUCCCCAGGCUUAACCUGGGAACUGCGUGUGAUACUGGAUGGCUUGAAUCCGGGAGAGGGAUGCGGAAUUCCAGGUGUAGCGGUGGAAUGCGUAGAUAUCUGGAGGAAUACCGGUGGCGAAGGCGGCAUCCUGGACCGACAUUGACGCUGAACGGCGAAAGCUAGGGGAGCAAACGGG
rnacentral:rRNA from 1 species